CGCGAAGGCGGGCGGGCGCUGAUUGGCUGAGAGCGCCGAGGGCGGGAAGGCGGCGCGGCCACGCCCUUCGCUGUGGAGAGCCGCGCCCGGGUCCGCCCCACAGCCCGCGGCUGCCCCAUAGCCGCCCCAUAUCCGCCCCAUAGCUGCCUCAGAGCCGCCCUAUAGCCGCCCCAUGGUGGCAUAGGGAUCCACCCCUGUGCUCCACGGCGCCCCAUAGCGGUCUCUAUGGGUCUCUGUGCCUCGUUUAGAUCCCUAUCAGUCACUACAUCUGCUAUAGAUCACUAUGGAUACUCGCUGCAGUGGGGACAGAGCGGUGUCCCCCCAAAAAAUUGGACUCCCUCCCUCCCCCCCCCAAAGCUGAGCGCUGCGGACUGCCCCGUGGUGCUGAGGUUUCGUCGCCUCCGAAGGACAGCAGCGGCCGCAGCCCCCCCUUCCCCCCCAUUCACUGCGUUCCCCUCUUUGAGUCCGCCCCGAGGGGAGGGGGUGUGGGAAAAAGGGGCGGAGCCUCCGCCCGCGCGGGAGAGAUCUCUCAGCCAAUCGAAGAGAAGGAGCGGUUCCCACGGUUCCAUUGAUGAAAAAAGGCGAAGAGGGACCUUUCCUUGGAAGCCCUCCCCGGCGGGGGGGGGGGCUGUUAAACUUGGGGGGGGGCUCAGUGUGAGAGAGGGAGGGUCCCAAAGGGGAUCAGUGUGAUUGGGGGGUGGGGGU
ensembl:lncRNA